CACGUAGGAGGCGAGCGUUGUCCGGAAUCAUUGGGCGUAAAGAGCGCGCAGGCGGCUUGGCAAGUCGGGUGUGAAAUCCCGGGGCUCAACCCCGUGACUGCAUUCGAUACUGUCAGGCUAGAGGUAGGUAGGGGAGAUCAGAAUUCCUGGUGUAGCGGUGAAAUGCGCAGAUAUCAGGAGGAACACCGGUGGCGAAGGCGGAUCUCUGGGCCUUACCUGACGCUCAGGCGCGAAAGCUAGGGGAGCGAACAGG
rnacentral:rRNA from 1 species